rnacentral:rRNA from 1 species
UACGGAGGAUGCAAGCGUUAUCCGGAUUCACUGGGCGUAAAGGGCGCGUAGGCGGGAUGGCAAGUCAGUCGUGAAAUCUCUCGGCUCAACCGAGAAACGUCGGCUGAUACUGCCGUUCUUUGAGGGAUGCAGAGGAGACUGGAAUUCCCGGUGUAGCGGUGAAAUGUGUAGAGAUCGGGAGGAACACCGGUGGCGAAGGCGGGGUCUCUGGGCAUCUCCUGACGCUGAGGCGCGAAAGCGGUGGGGAGCAAACGGG